rnacentral:rRNA from 1 species
GACGAACGCUGGCGGCGUGCCUAAUACAUGCAAGUCGAACGCACUCUCGUUUAGAUUGAAGGAGCUUGCUCCUGAUUGAUAAACAUUUGAGUGAGUGGCGGACGGGUGAGUAACACGUGGGUAACCUGCCCUAAAGUGGGGGAUAACAUUUGGAAACAGAUGCUAAUACCGCAUAAAACCUAACACCGCAUGGUGUAGGGUUGAAAGAUGGUUUCGGCUAUCACUUUAGGAUGGACCCGCGGUGCAUUAGUUAGUUGGUGAGGUAAAGGCUCACCAAGACCGUGAUGCAUAGCCGACCUGAGAGGGUAAUCGGCCACACUGGGACUGAGACACGGCCCAGACUCCUACGGGAGGCAGCAGUAGGGAAUCUUCCACAAUGGACGAAAGUCUGAUGGGGCAACGCCGCGUGAGUGAAGAAGGUUUCGGAUCGUAAAACUCUGUUGUUGGAGAAGAAUGUAUCUGAUAGUAACUGAUCAGGUAGUGACGGUAUCCAACCAGAAAGCCACGG